AAUUCUCAACUCCGAUCGAUUUGUUUCGACUUCGGAGCUUGGACAUGGAGCGUGCCGGCGUCGGUCGGCUCCUCUUAAAUGCAUCAGCGGAAUCUAACGUUUUGGAUGUCAGUGUGAUAAUCAUGUUGCGCUGUCCUCCGAUCCGAAAAGCCCGCUCACAAUGGUCUUCGGACGACUUCAUAUCAA
rnacentral:misc_RNA from 1 species